GGACAGGUGAGAGAGUGGUUGAAUCUGCUCGCCUGGAACGCGAGUGUAGGGAAACCUACCGCGGGUUCGAAUCCCGCCCUGUCCACCA
rnacentral:tRNA from 1 species